AUUGAACUUGACCUCCAUUUUGUCAUCAGUAACAGCAUAUUAAAAUUUCGGAAGCUUUGGUAGAACAGUUCAUGCAUCAAUGCACGGACACGACUGGAAACUCCAUUUUUCAAUCUUUCAAGAACCAUAACUCCUGAACGGUAAAAGUCAAAUUCGUCAUUAUUGAACUUGACCUCCAUUCUUUCAUUAGUAACAGCAUAUUAAAAUUUGGGAAGCUUUGGUAGAACAGUUCAUGCGUAAAUGCACGGACAACUCCAUUUUUCAAUCUUUCAAGAACCAUAACUCCUGAACGGUAAAAGUCAAAAUCGCCAUUAUUGAACUUGACCUUCGUAUAGUUGUCAGUAAUAACAUAUUAAAAUUUUAAAAGCUUUGGUUGAACGGUUCAUGAGUUAAUGCACGGACAACAUUUGAUUGCCGCCCGCCC
rnacentral:lncRNA from 1 species